UACGGGGGGAGCAAGCGUUGUUCGGAUUUACUGGGCGUAAAGGGCGCGUAGGCGGCCACCGCAAGUCGACUGUGAAAUCUCCGGGCUUAACCCGGAAAGGUCAGCCGAUACUGCGGGGCUAGAGUGCAGAAGGGGCAACUGGAAUUCUCGGUGUAGCGGUGAAAUGCGUAGAUAUCAGGAGGAACACCAGCGGCGAAGGCGCUGCUCUGGGCCGGUACUGACGCUGAGGAGCGAAAGCGUGGGGAGCGAACAGG
rnacentral:rRNA from 1 species